GGCGCGAGUUGUAGCGCCUGCGCACGCGAGUGCGCGCGGGCGGGGCGCCUGCGGGAGCGCGCCCGUCACAAGAUGGCGGCUGCCAUGCGAGCUUCCAGGGCAGUGUGUGCGCAGCGGGCGGCGGCGCGGCCCGGGGGGCAGGCGCGGCGACGGCGCUAACCCAGGCUAGGCCCCUCUUCUUGGCCGCCACUUUCGCCUCCGCCGCCGAGCCUAAGAUGGAUCUUCCUGUGGGCCCCGGCGCGGCGGGGCCCAGCAACGUUCCGGCCUUCCUGACCAAGCUCUGGACCCUCGUGAGCGACCCGGACACCGACGCGCUCAUCUGCUGGAGCCCGGUAGGGGCGGGUGCGGGAGCAGGGCGCUGCGGGAAGGGGGCCUGGCCGCCGCCGUCCUCUCGAAGCCCGGGGCCGCGCGGUCCCAGAGCCCUUAGUUUGCCUGGGACGCGGUGGACGCGGCUUCCGGUUCUCCCGCUCGUGGCUCGCGGAGGGACCGCGCCCCGACGGCCGGGUGCACAGCCCGCGCGUCGGGGAAAGAUCGCGGCGUGGCGCGAAUCGGAGGGCGUGCGCUGGUGGGAAGGAGAAGGGCGGGCGGGCAGCGGGCAGGACGCACGGUCCGGGCUGGCCCCACCGCCAGGGCAGCGGGCCGGCGUUGGGCCCUCUGGAGUUGUCGGAGCGGGCUGCGAAGACCGCAGACCUCGAGCUUGCAGAGGUCACUCCCGCCUCCUGUUCACAUCCUGCCUGUGACAUCGCGCCGCGAGAGGGUCAGGGCCCGGGACUGGCACAUGGUGGCCUGAGGCCACAGUGAUCCAGAGGGAGCUUUUAGAGGAACUGUGACAGGCUUGGUGCCAGCAAACCUGCUUGACUUCCUGCAAGCCAAAACUCAGGGCUUCUCAGCCUGUGCCGAGAGCACACCCAUCGCACACCCGUCCCUUCAGCCCGUCAGGAAAGAAGAAAAGCCUGGACAUGAAUCUAGCUCGAUCUGGAGGUCCGGUUCUCUGCCUCCGGGUCGUGCGUUUACUGACGGUGUGCCCUCUGUAAAGAGCAUUCUGGAAUAUGCCUGGCAUGUUGGUGCAUGUCUGUAAUCCCAGCAACCCCGAGGGCUGAGGUCCGGCCUCAGGAAUUUAGCAAGGCCCUAACCAAAUUAGCAAGAGAAGACGCUCUCAAAAGAAUAAUUUUUUUUUUUUUUUUUUUUUUUUUUAAAAAGGGCUUGGAGAGUAGUUCAGUGGCAGAGUAUCCCUGGGUUCAAUCCCAAGUGCCAAAAGGAAAAAAAAAAAAUGUGUGUGGGAAUAAAUAGAAGAUUAGAAACCAUGCACCUUCACUCUUGGUAGAAACACUUUGUCCCCAUGGCACCUCCUCUGUGUGGGCCUUUCUUGCUCCCCAGAUCCAGAGAGGAGCAGUGUUUUUCAGCUACCUCUUCUAGAUUUUGAACUCUCCUAACCCCCAGGAAAUGACACCACAUUUCUGACUUUCUUUAACUUCUUUCCAUUUCUGCCUUGUUACCCUUAACUCAUAGGAAGUGAUCUUACCCAGGUGGGGGAGGGCAUCGGAGAUCCUCUGGAAUAUUCUGAGCCUUGUUUGGCUAGGAAAGUCCAUCCUGCCUGGUGUUUUUGCUUUUUGAUUGAGAGAUCUGUGGGUGAAGUUCCAGUAUACAUUCUUCCAGGACCUAUAGGGUGUUCUGGGGAGGGCCUUUGAGUUGGAAGUCAGAUCUGAUUCAACCUGUAAACAGCCUCCCAUCCACAGCAGCACACUACCUGUUGACAUAUUUUCCCUGGGGAGGGACAGGGAGUUGACUGGAACUCAAGCUUUGGAUCUUCCUGUGUGAAGCAGCUGUAAUUGGUGCAGGACAUCAGGACAUAGCAGUGGGCGCUAGCAUGAAACAAGUACAAAAACAAGCUCUGACUCAGGAAUGGAAGGAAGCCCCUGUCAGCAUGAUCAGGGAGGGGCUGAAGAGCUUCUUAGAGCUGACUGCCUGGCCCAGAGAAAGAAGAUGAUGCCUCUGUCCCCGUGACCUUGAGGGCACCCGUACAGGCCCUGUGGCCUCUGUCAGCAGAGCGCAGCAUGGACGCUCCUAUAGGCUCACUGCCCCUGACUCAGCCUUCAGAUGCCUCAGAAGGCUUUGGGGCCCCCACUCAGUUAUUUUCUCCUUGGUGCUGGAAGUCUCCUCCUUAUUCUGCCAAAAAGUACUCUCCCUUUGGAGGGAUAAUGUUGGCUAAUUCCCAAGGCUGAAUAUGUGGGGAAGACCUUCCAGUCUCAGAACCCUGGCUAGACUACUAGGGGACAGAAUAGGUCACUACCUGGAAACUGUGAUGGAGGUUAUGGCACUGUUUAUCCUUGUGUUCAUUCCCACCCGCAGCCCUCAUUUAGUUCCAAAUCCCUUACCCAAACAGGAAGGGCUACAAGAGAUCUGAGUUUUCCCCAGACAGGUCCUGAAGGACAGUGUAGCUCCAUAUGCCCUGUGGAGGAAAUUUGGUGACCACAGGUUAGAAUCCAAGUAGGAGCCACAAGAGCAUGUAAGUGUAGGCAUGGGUAAUCUUCCCUUAGCCAACUUCUCAACAGUUGUCCCAAAGCUGCCCCUGGAUCCAGUACCCAGAGAUACGAAGAUUGGGACUAAAUACCUGGAUAAAUAGGUAGCUCCAUAAAUAAAGCAUGAGGCCUUUCCACCCUCCUACCAUCUCUCAGCCUUUGCAUCCUCCUCUUCGUGUAGUGGUUCCCCUGUCCUCCCCAGUAGGCUCUUGAUAGGGCCUUACAGGACUCAGGACAACUCUGGAGUUACAGUCCUCAAAGCAGAGAGAAAUGUCCAAACCAAAGUGAAAAAUGAAGGCUCAUAGCCCGGGUUCAGUAUAAUGCCAAUUUUGUAUAAGAUCAUGUAGUCUUUUUUAAAAAAGAUUAGAAGGAAAUAUGAGAAGUAAUCUUGAUUAUCUCUGGCUAGUAAGAUUACAGUUAAUUUUUAUUUUAAGUUUUUCUUCUAGUUCUUAAAAAGUAAACGUGUUUUGUAAUUGAAAGGAGAUGAACUCUCAACCACAAGUUGUGUCCAGAACCCCCACGGCUACCCCUGCUCUCUGAGCUUUCUCAGCCAGGUGAGCUCAUUCUUAGAGAGCAAACAAGAGUUGACAGGCCCCACCCUUGAAGACCUGGCAGUGGGCCCCAAGUGCUAGAAGCCACACACCUCAAGCUGGUUGUGUUGUGUGCUGCGGUGUCAUUAACCACUGAAUGGUGCACAGCAUGUUUGCUGUCUCUGUGUUACAGACAAGGUUGUGCUUCUUGCCUAUUCACUCUCUGCCCACAGUCAUUCAAGUGGGUGACCUAAGUUCCAUUUUAUAAAUAGAAAACUCAGGCUCAAAGACAUCAAAAAUCUUAACAAAUUAAGAGCUAGAAAAUGGUAAAAGUAAGUCCAGAAUCACCCAGAUGUUGCAAACUGCCUGGCUUUGCCAGCUGUGCACAUCUCAAGGAUCCAUCUUUCACCAUCCACAGAGAAAAAUUAGACUAGACCAGCAAGCUCUAUGCUGUGGCCUCUUGUGUGUUUCCUCCUGCCUUGAGGUGUUGGGGGAGUUGCAGGCCUGGGUUGUGGUAGACUUGGAGGAAAGUAGAUGCCCACAGCAACCUGGGCCCAUCUGACACCAUAGAACCAGUGUUGGCCCAUAACUCUUUAUCAAGGGACCAGGGAGAGCAACCUGCACCUGGGGGUUGCUUGUUUUCAGAGGAGUUGGCCUGUGUGCAGGGGAAACUAGAGCCUAGCAAAGCCAAGGUCUGGCAGGAGGAAGAGACUGGCCUUUGUAAAAAAGUGAGGAGCUCAGCCCCCAAUGGUUUCCUUGUGCCUAGCAGCACUAGUAGCUGUGGUCAGUAACCCCCUUCCAACUGUGUUGGCCCCACAGUGAGCAGAGUUGAGCAGCCUGCAUGUGUUCAGUGCACCGGGGAUGUGGAGGUGUGUGCUGGUCAUGGCUCCUGACUUGCAGGCGUGAGCUCCAAAGCUAACCUGAGCAGAAGCAAGAAAGCAUCCCUGGGAAAAGUACCAAUGGACCCUCAGAGAGUGGCAGACCAGGACUGGGGGAGAUGGCCCAGAAGGUGUGCUGCUCUUCUGUACCUGCUUGGACCCUCCAUCAAGCUCACCCUCCAGACUGAUUUCUUCACUCCAUCUUCUCAUGACCACAAAGCCAGGCCAGCUAUGGCUUCCAAUGCAACCAAGUGCCCACAGACUUCUUGCUGCUCUAGUCCCAGUCCUAGGACACAGAAAGUGGUCAGGCAGCUAAGGCCAGGAAACCUGAGUACCUUACAAGCUCCAUCUGUGCUUGGGUAUGCAGGGGGGCUAAGACAGGGAGGGAUUGUGGCUGGGCAGUAACUUGAAAAGAUCAGAUAAGCCACCUUAUAAAAUAUAUGGCUGUUAGCCUUUUGGUACCACAGAGCCAACCCCUUUGAGAAGAUAAGCAGAGUCACCAAUCUGCUCUAUACAAAAUGUAUACCUGGAGAAUUUUGUAUACAUUUCAAAUUGUCAACAGUGGUAUAGAAAAUAAAGCCACGGGCCUGGUGUGAUGGCACACUCCUGGGAUCCAAACAGCUCAGGAGGCUGAGGCAAGAGGAUUGCAAGUUCAAAGCCAGCCUCAGCAACUUAGCGAGGACCUAAGCAACUCAGCAAGACCCUGUCUCUAAGUAAAAUAGAAAGAGGGAUAUCAGGGGUCUGGGUUCAAUCCCUGGUACCAGAAAAAGAAAACAAAGUCACAGCCAGGCACAGUGGCUGACAGAACUUUGGAAGCUGAGACAGGAGGCUGUCUUGCUGCCCCCAACCUGUGCGGGCAGCUGAACUUAAGGUCGCUUGUGUGAAUUUCCAGGCACACCAAAUGAAACACAGACACACACUUUACCUUUAAACAAGCUUCGGGACAGCUUCUUCACUCUUGGCCUCAGGCUUCUCAAAUGGGAGAGCAAGAGAAAGUCAUGAGCACGGUUGGAAGUGGGCUUUUAUUGGUGGGGGACCCUUAUUCUUAGAAAGUUCCAUCCAAAAAAGUCAGAAGGGGCAGGGUUAUAAAGGUCAGGUGAGUAUAAUUCGACCCAAGGGGCUAUGGGAUGACACACCUAUCUCUGAAGAUGUGCCCUCAAACUUCCUGGACCAGGGCAAUGUCCAUGUCACUACAAAGCCUCUCCACUCCAGGAUGGAAGGCGUGAAUCAUUCAGAGUGGCUCCCACAAUCUCUAGUUUGAGGCCAGCCUGCGCAACUUAGCGUGACCCUUUCUUAAAAUUUAAAAAGCCUGGGUGUGUAGCUCCGUGGUAGAGCAUACCUGGGUACGGUUCACAGUAAGACUCAGUAUUUACUGACUACCGUGUUUCAGACUACAAGAGCACUACUCACUAGCCAAUAACUGGGCAGCCAGUUUUCCUUGAUCCUUCUAAAAUGCCCGUUUUCAUUAUAUUUAAGUCCAAGCUAUGACCUCCCAAAGUUACCUGUGAUCAGCAGAGAAGAGCCUUUGAACCACUGAGGCAAAGAGAUGAAACACUGAGUUCUCUGCUCUUCCCUCAGAAGACCCUCUGAAACUCACUUGGAGUAGGUCCUGUCAGACCGGUUCAACUCGGACACUGUUCAGCAUUGGAGGACAGAUAAGGACUGAGCUAAUAUACACUUGCCUGGGCUUUCUGUGGUGAAAGGGGAGAGCUAACAUGCAGACUAGGGGAGCUGAGGCUGCUGAACUUGUGGGGCAUGGUGGCAGAGAGGAGGAAGUUGGCCAAGAAAGAUAUCUGGGAAUCAGCAGAUGAGCCCCCUGGGGUUUUGUCGGAAUGCCUAUUUGUUCACGCAGCCCUUAUGGAGGCCAAGAACACCUUCAAGGGAGGAAGCGCUGCUGAGAAGCUACAGGGUGAACAGCUAGAACUCUCAAGCCCACAGGUUGUUUGCACUCUCGCCAGCAGGGUGGAGAAGCCAGUGUGAAUGAAUACACAGAGGGCUCACCAGGGACCUUGGGAGAGCUAAAGGGGUGUUGGAAGCCCACACAUAAAGGGUACUCCAGAUGACAUGGGAGCAAGCUUGGAAGCAAGCAUUGAAGUGACAGCCGGGCUGCCCUCAAUGGAGUGCAGCACUUCUGCAAUCAACAAAACUCAGACACACAACAUAAAAUUCCCAUGUCCUAGGUCCAGUCAAAAUGAGUAGAAAAGCCAGUAGGCGAGAAAAGUGUAACUUGUCAUGGGAGGGUGACAGUUCAUAGUAACAGACCCAGGUCUGAUGGGAUGACCAACAAGUACAUUAAAAUAAUUUUAACAGCACUCUGUGUGCUCAAGGAAUCAAAGCAAAAACAUGAAGGCUGAGAAGUGGAAGAUAGAAAAAAAGAAGCAAGUUGAGCAAAAUAUCAUUUCCCCUAGGCAGGAGAAUUUUAAAUUACUUAUAUAAAUCCUCACCUCUCAGAGAGCCCACACACUGUCCCUAACUGAGCUGUGGGUUCCUUCUGAGGACCACCAUAGAGAAGGGAGGGGGCUCACAGAGGACCUCACCAGCACAUCAACACUGGUGUCCAUGGUGACAAGCCUGUUGACAGCUGAGCUCUUGACACAGUGGAACCAUCUUCCCAAAGUCACAUAUGGCCCCAAAUAAAAUACCAGAUCCAAACAGAGGGACAUUCUGCAAAAUGCCUGGCCAGUCCUCCUCAAAACUGUCAAGGUCAUCAAACUGGGAAAGUCUGAGGAAUUGUUGUGCCCCAAGGAACUGAAAGAGACAUGACAAGUAAAUGUAAUGUCAUAUUUUGGAUGAUGUACAGGAACAAAAGUAAGACAUGAGGAAAUCUGGAAAAAGUAUGGACUUUGCUUUAUAAUGUGUCUAGUUUAACAGGUGCACCUUGCUAAGGCAAGAUGUUCGUAAUAGGGAAACAGGUGUGGAGUGUAUGGGGACUCUGUACUAUCUUCCCAACUUUUCUAUAAAUUUAAAAUUGAAAGGUUAUUUUAAGUCCACUAGAGAAGAUUAAUAAAGAUCACUGAGUGAGAAACUACAGAAGUGAUCCACUGCGAUGCAUAGAGAGGGGAGGUUGAAAAAUCAGUGUUGUUGGGGUGGUGUCAUGCAGUCUAAAGACAGCUGAGGUUCCAGAAGCAGGAGGAGGAGCAUGUUUGUAGAAAGAAUGGCCAGAAAUUUUCUGUGGUACUGGAAAUCAAACUCAAAGCCUUGUGCAUACCCAGCAAGUACUCUACCACUAAGUUGCCUCCCCAGCUUUUUUUAUUAUAUUUUGAGACCCAGUUGCUAUGUUACCCAAACUGGCCUUGAACUUGCCAUUCUCCUACCUGUGCCUCCCAAGCAGCUGGGAUUAUAGGAGUGCAUUCUUUUCCCAAGUCUUUGAAGAGCUAUAAACCCACACACUUAAGAAUAGCAAUGAAUCCCAACCAGAAUAGGAACAAAGAAAGCCAUAUCAACGCCUAGCAUGUUCAGAUCUCUGAAAAAGACUAAUAAAAUGUCCUAAAAGCAAGCAGAAAGAGAAAGGAAAUUGCACACAGUAGAACAAGAGGUAAGAAUGACUGUAAACUCCACAUUAAGAACUCAGGUAGACACACUUGGAAUGAGUAUAAAGUAAGUCUUGGCAAGAAAAUGUAACUUAGGGGCUGGGGAUGUGGCUCAAGCGGUAGCACGCUCGCCUGGCAUGCGUGCGACCCGGGUUCGAUCCUCAGCAUCACACACAAACAAAGAUGUUGUGUCCGCCAAAUACUAAAAAAUAAAUAUUAAGAAAAAGAAAAUGUAACUUAGGGCUGGGGUUGUAGCUCAGUGGUAGAGCAUUUGCCUCACACACAUGAGGCCCUGGGUUUGAUCCUCAGCACCACAUAAAAAUAAACUAAUAAAAAUAAAGAUAUUGUGUCCAUCUACAACCAAAAGAAAAUGUAACUUACAUGAACCAAAUUGAAGUUUUAGAACUUAAAAUUAUAGUAAUUAAAGUAAGGAACACUGGACAGGGUCAGUAGUAAGAUGGAAGUGACAGAAGAAAGUCAGUGAAUAUGGCCAUAGGACAGCAAAAACUGUCCCUAAUCUAACAACAGGGAGGGAAAACAAACAGAGCCUCACAGACUUGAGACAGCUUCAGGGGUCUGCUUCAUUCAUCAGAGUCCUGGAAGGAGAGUAGAAAACUGCAAGAAAAAUAAACAAUUACAAAUUAAGCAAAAGAUAUAAUAAACCUGUAAGUUCAAUUUCAAUAUACUGCAAAGAAGUAUAAAACCAAGGCGUAACCAAACUCCUGAAAACUAGAGGCAAACUAAAAAUUCUGAAAGCAUCCUGAGAAAAAACGGCACCAUCUGGUAGCAAUGACUCCUGUGACUUUGUAUUUCCUAUCAGAAAGCCAGGAAGCCAGGACUGGGGCUGUGGCUCAGAGGCAGAGCGCUCACCUAGCAAGUGUGAGGCCCUGGGUGCAAUCCUCAGCACCACACAAAAAUAAAAAGAAAGAAAACAGGGAAGCCAAAAGGAGAUUAAACCAAUAAAGGGAACUUGUCAAGUUAGCCAUAGUGGUGCAUGCCUGUAAUCUUAGCAGCUCAGGAGGCUGAGGCAGGAGGAUCACAAGUUUGAGGACAGCCUGGGCAACUUAGCAAGACCCUGUCUCAAAGUGAAAGGGGGGCAGGGGUUGUGGCUCAGAGGUAGAACUCUUGCCUAGCACAUGUGCGGCCCUGUGUUUGAUCCUCAGCACCACAUAAAAUUAAAUAAAUAAAAUAAAAGGAUUGUGUCCAUCUACAACUAAAAGAAGGGGAGCUAGGGGCUACAGCUCAGUGGUGAAGUGCCCCUGGGUUCAAUCCCCAGUACCAAAAUCAGUCAGUCAAAACAAUAAAAGAAAAAAACACACAGUGGCUCCCCCCUAGCCAUGGUCAAGUCGAGGCCAAAUAUAGUAAAUACAAAAUUAUAGAAAUAAGCAACUCGUGGGUUUAAACCACUCUGAGUGGUGUAAGGCAGCCUCACACUAUCCCCCCAGGAUGCGAACGAUCCCUUCAGUCAGUGGGUCUGCAGCGUACAUGCGGCCUGCCCAGUAGUUGCUUGUCACAGCCAUCUGCAGUGGCACACCAACCGUCAUGUAUCACAGUGCCUGAGUAGUGUAGCCCAGCGCUCCUUUACGCACCUGCUUAUUCACAGGCACUGUGUUGUUUCCAUCAGUUAGGUACAGUUCAAGCAGAGACGGAGCACAUCACUCCUAUUGCACUAUGUGUGUACUGUUUUAUAUGUUGUUAUGCAUCUAUUCCUGUGCCUAACUUACAAAUUGAACUUUAGCAUAGGUGUGUAUAUAGAGGGAAACAUAAUGUAUGUAGGGUUGAGUUCUGUCUGUGGUUUCAGGCAUCCCCUGGGGGUCUUGGAAUGUAUCCCUCACACAUAAGAGGCGACUACUGUACUUCUUAACACUAACCAAAAGAAAGGCAAAAUGACAUCAAUUAAAAUAGACCUAAGAGCAAAGAAGCUGACCUUAAAUAGGGGCAUUAUUAUUGGGACUGAGGUUGUAACUCAGGGGUAGAAUAAAGGGUGAGUGCACCAAGGACACUUGCAGUCCUGUUGUGUCCACCUGGGAACAAAGCAGUAAAAGAAAUGAGGUAAAGCUAGACGGAGUUGAAAGAACUAGGACUGCAAGUGCAGUCACGCAUGUCGACUAUUCUCAGUGACUUGAUUAAGGUUGAGAGAAUUUCCACAUAGAGAAGACUUGAACACAUCAAGCCACUCAACCUGCUAACAGCUGAAGAUACUCCACCCAGCAACAGAGCCCAGCUUCUUCUCAGCCCCAUGGACCUGUGCCGGCAUAGAGUGUGUUCAAGGCCCUGAAAACAAGCUCAGGAGAACUAAAAUCAUGCAAAUGUAUUUUCUGAACAUAAAGGAAUUAAAUUAGAAACUGUUGAACAGACUGGCAGUAGGAGACUCCAAACAAUAAAGCAGUGCUUAGGGGGAAUCAUGAGAGAAGAAGGGGCCGUUGCUGUAGCUCAGCAGCAGAACGCUUGCCUAGCAUGUUCAGGGUCCUGGGUUCAUUCCCUGUUCCACAAAAGAGUGGACUUCUAAACAAUCACCUUAAAAAGCAGGAAAGGGGGACUGGGGCUGUGGCUCAGUGGUAGAGCGCUUGCUUGCACUUGUGAGGUCCUGAGUUCAAUCCUUAGCACCACAUAUAAAUAAACAAGUAAAAUAAAGUUAUUAAAAAAAAAACAGGAAAGGGGGGCAGUGUAAACUCAAAGCAAGAAGGAAGGAAGUGCAGACAGCAAAAGAAAGCAGUGUGACUAGAAGUUGUAAAACAAACUCCAAAAGCCGAGUCUUUAAUAAAAAAAUAAAAUAAAGAAGUUAAUGAAUUCAUAGCACAAAUGAUACAAGAAAAAAGAAUAAUUAGUAAUAUCAGGAAGUAAAGAUGCAUCAGUACAGACUCCACAGGCGGAAAGAUGAAGAGGAAGUACUAAGGAUUUGGCAAUGUGAAUGAAAUGGACUAAUUCUUUAAACCUCAAACUUCAAGUCACGCUCAGAAUAACAACAUGUGACUAGUCCAAAAAACAAUUAAUGAAAUUGAAUUCCCAGUUAUAAACCGUACGUAAAAGAAAUUUCCAGGUCCGAAAGACUGCACUGGCUAAGUCCAAUAAUUGAAAAAUAAAUAGAACCAUCUUUAAACAUCUUCCACCAAAUAUAGUGGAUCAGUUCAGCGUUAUGUUAAAAGAAUGAAAUCACAAGUGAGAUUGUCUUGGGAGCACUGGAUCAGUUCAACAUUUGAAAAUCAAGCUACAUUAUUUGCCAUGUCAGUAUAAGGAAGAAAAACAUGAUCAGAAUAUUUGUCUAAAAAUAAGUUGAUCAAAUUGUAAUUUGUGACAUUUAAAAAAAAUAAAAAACUAAAAAUAAUAGGAAAUUUCUUCAACCUGAUACAAAGUGUCUACAAAAAAAGACCACACAUCACCAGGCUCAUUGGUGCACACCUUUAAUUCCAAUGAGCUGAGGAAAGAGGGUCACAAGUUGGAGACUAACCUCAGCAAUUUAGCAAGGUCCUGUCUCAAAAUUUUAAAAAAGGGCUGGGUAUGUGGCUCAGUGGUAGAGGCCCCUGGUUCCACCCCUAGUACCAGGAAAACAAGAGCACACCUAACUAACUGCUCAGUGGUGGAAGACCUAGUGCUCUCCCUCCCUGGAGACCAACAAGGUGCAUCAUCUCUUUUCACUGGUCAUUUAUUCAGCCUCUUGCUGAAGUUCUGUCCAGUAUCCCAUGUGAGACAAGAAAAGGAAGGCAUGCAAACUGGAGGGGACGAAGGAGCACUGUCUGUAUGCAUAGAUACAAGAAUGUCUACAUGGAAAACCCUGAACUCACAGAAGUCCUCCUAGAUCUAAGGAAUGUGUUUUGCAAGGUCACUAGAUAUAAGGUCAACACAAAAUCCAAUAUGUUUUUGCAUACUAGCAAUGAAUAAAUGGGAAAUCAAGUUUUUAAAUACCAUUUACAGUUGCUCAAGGAAGUUAAAAACAGUUAUCCCUUGGUAUUCACAGGGGAGGUUUCCAAGAUCCCCACCUGGAUACCAAAAUGUAAGGAUACCAAGUCCCUUGUAUGAGAUGGUAUAGUAUUUGCAUAUAACUUACACAUCCUGCCAUACACCCAUAUACUUUUGUGGGGGAGGGGGGUUGUUGGGGAUUAAAUCCAAGGAUGCUUUACCACUGAACUACAUCUUCAGCCCUUUUUAAUUUUGAAAUGGUCUAAUUUACCCAGGCUUGAACUUGGUUGUUUGUGGGUUUUUGGUUUUGUUUGUUUGUUUUGUUUUUUGUUGUUGUAGUAGAUGGACACAGUAUCUUUAUUUUUAUAUGGCGCUGAGGAUCGAACCCAGUGCCUCGCCUGUGUGAGGCAAGCACUCUACUGCUGAGCUUCUAGCCCCAGCCCCCUGGCCUUGAACUUUGGAUCCUCCUGUGACUCUAAGGAUUAUAGGUGUGAGCCAUCACAUCUGUAUACUUCAAAUCAUAUGUAGAUGACCUAUAUUUUUCUUUUUCUCCUGCUUUUAAGCAGUGCUGAGGGUGGGACCCAGGGGUGCUAGGUGAGAGCUCUACUACGGAGCAGUCGCCCCAUCCCUCUAGAUAACUUAUAACACCUAAUGUAAAUGCUAUGUGAAUGGUUGUUCUACUGCAUUGUUUAGAGAAGCAUGACAAGUGAAAGUCUCUACAUGUUCAGUAGAGUUUUUUUAAUAUUUAUUUUUUAAUUGUAGUUGGACACAAUACCUUUAUUUUAUUUAUUUUUAUGUGAUGCUGAGGAUCGAACCCAGGGCCUCGCAUGUGCUAGGCGAGCCCUUUACCACUGAGCCACAACCCCAGACCCUCAAUAGAGGUUUUUUUUGUUUUUUGUUUGUUUGUUUUUUUAAUAUUUUUGGAAGCCAGGUGCGGUGGUGCACACCUAUUCCUAGCAGCUCAGGAGGCUGAGGCAGGAAGAUCGCAAGUUCAAAGCCAGCCUCAGCAACUUAGGGAGACCCUAUCUCUAAAUAAAACUUAAAAAGGGCUGGGGAUGUGGCUCAGUGGUUAAGCACACCUGGGUUCAAUCAACAUUACCUCCACCCAAGAAAGAGAGAGAGAGAGAAUGAAUUUAGAGAAAAUGUCAUUUCAAAAUGUGUUUGUUUUUUUUGUUUGUUUUUUGUUUUUCAAUCUACUAUUGAAUUCACAGAUGUGGGAUUUUUCAAAAGUUCCCCCAUCCUUUCUCUUCCCCUCCCCUUGUUUGCUGAUACAGUGAAUGCUUUGCCUCAUUCCUUUGAUACUCUUCUCAUCCUGUUUCUCUACAUUAAGGAGUGAACGUUUUAGCUGGUAUGUUGUAGGACUUGGGGUGGCUCUGCCUUCCUCCUGAGCUUAUUUCCUUCGUGUUUUUAGUCUGCUUGUGACUUGGCUGGGUGGCUUGAGGGAGACUACUUUUCUUUGGUCUCUAUUCACUGCCUGGCUGCCUGGUUCUGCCAUUGGGGUUUUUUUGUUUUGCCUUGUUUUGUUUCUUUUUGUAAUGCCCUGGAGCACAGAUGGUUGGGCAGUCAAAUGCAGUUCAGUCUGACCAGUGGUGAGGUGGUUUGGUUUGGUCUGGUCUGGGGGAGGUGGUUGGGCAGCUGUUGUUCUGGAGGUGUUUCUGAUUUGGUAGUGUCUUGAGCGGGCCCUGUCAUCAGCAUAGACCACACUCGUUCCUGUCUUUCCACAAGGUCAGGAUUUGCUGAAUGACAGUCAAGUCACAGGCUGCACCACUCAGUGGGGGCAGAUCACCUGGUGGUCAUCAGCCAGGCAAUCACAGGUUCUUAUCCCAAUCUUCAUUGCCAGUAUCUGUGACACUCAAGUCGCACAUCACACUUCACACAGAGACACACAUAAGAAGGGGUCAAGGCAGCCACAGGGUCAGGGAGACUGAACUGAGAGCAAAGGCGGAGUCCCUGCAGGUGGUCAGGUGAGAUCAGGAACCAGCUGAAGAGCUUGUUUAGGGUGCAGGAGCUUAUUCUAGGCCGAGGUCCAGCAGUUUCACCAUGUCAGCUUGGAGUGGGACUCCAUGGUCAUCAUAGACAGAAGAAACCACACACACUGCUAAAGCCUAAGAACAGAUCCGAAGGUUCUUUGCUGUGACAAUUUUCUUGGGCAAGGCUAGUGACCAGUGACCAGGGUUAGGGUGCCACUGUGUCCAGUCCCAGGGUACCUCCCCUUUUAUGGGUCUCAAGUGAGGAGUUUGUUUUAUUUGGUGAUCUAGUAUAUUCAGUAAUCUCAUGGGCCUGGUUUUGCAAUGUUUGUUGGAUACGCCCAUACAUGCUUGUGAUUAAUUUGGUAAAUUCAUGGGUGGUCAUUCUUCAUUAGCAUGAUUAACUUAUUUCAGUUCAUGCCUUAUGGUUGUGCCAGGCAGAUGGUGGUGGUUCACUUGUACAAACAAGGUAUGGCUUCAUUGCAUCUCAGCCCUUAAACUCAAAAUGGAGUAGCUCACAGCAAACUACUGCUUUACAAAAUGAAGUGAGAAAGGUUAAAGCACAGCCUGAAAACUGCUGCUCUGUACAUCGUGGAGUAACUCAGAGAGGGCACGGCCUCCUCUCUGCAGAAGGCAGGUGGGUUUGUUGGUUGAACUGUGGCUGUUUUCAGGUUGGCCUUGGGUCAGCUCUGGCCCUGGAAGGCUCUUCUCAUCUUCCCCUUCCCUGCAGAGGCUCACUGAGGCCGGCCUGCCCACACCUGGACAGGGACUGUGCUUCCCGUGGGUGCAGCAGAGCUUUUCCUCCUGCACUGCCAAACACAGACUUAGAGCCACUGCUACUGUGGCUGGGCAGUAGCCACUGACUUUCUUUACUGCUGGACUUGGAAUGGGGUCCCCAUCUGUGGGGCAUGGUGGAGGAGCCAACUGCUCUCUUGGCCACACUAAGCAGGAAUGUGAUCUCUUCAACCUGGAGUGCUGGGGUAAAGAAAUCCUGGUGGUGUGGCUCUCCCCACGUGCUCACUGCCCGCCAAGUUGUAGCAGGUGUCAUGGAGUAAAUGUCUCUUUACUCACUAGACACCUUCAGAGACUCCCCAGUGUUUUACUGGGGAGACUUCCACAAAGUGCCUCACACUGCCGGCCAAGAAUCAGGAAUCUCCUCUUCACUUUGAAAGGGUAGCUUUACUAGUGUCCACUGCCUUUGGCUCUCAGCUCUGGUAAGUCUUCGUCUCCUCCUGUCUUUGUGAUUGGCAGUUCCCUCAUGGAAGUGUAUCAGUUGAAUCCCUUUUUAUUUAUCCCACUUGUAAUUCAGUUAACUUCUUGGAUGUUCUUCAUCAAAUUUAGGGAGAUCCUGGCAGUGUUUCCUUAGGUACAGUCUUUUUGCUCUUUCUCUCUUCUUUUGAGACUCACAUUAUGUGUAAGUUAUACUUUUUUUCCCCCUGUGCUGGGGGUUGGUGCUAAGCAUGUGCUCUACCUCUGAGCCUCACCUGCAGCCCAGCUGUGGUUCAGUGGUGCCUCAUAGGUCUCUGCCAUUCUGUUCAUUUGUAUUCAUUCUUCUUUCUAUUCUUCACACUGUAAUCUCAGUUGACUUGUUUUCAGGUUUGUUAAUUCCUGCUUCUCCCUACUCACAUCUCACCAGAGUCCCUCUGGUGAAUUAUUAAACUGAGUUUACUUCUCAACCUUAGAAUUUCAACUUGAUGCUUCUUUAUCAUUUUUACUUCUUUACUGAAAUUCUCCAUUGGUGAGAUAUAGUUCUCUUACUUUAGUUCUCCAGAUGUAUUCUUUGAAAGUAAUUAAAAUCGCUAACUUAAAAUCCUUUUCUCAUUGGACACAGUGGUACACACCUGUAUCCCAGCAACUUGGGAGGCUGAGACAGGAGGAUCCCAAAUUUGAGGCCAGUGAGACCAUGUCUCAAAAGGAAAAAUCAAAGGGACUGGGGAUGUGGUGCUCAGUGGUUCAGUGAGUGUAGCCCAUUGCUUUAAUUUCCAGUGCUGGAAAAAAAAAUUUUUUUUUUUUUUUUUUGUACGCAGUUUGCUUUUUGGGUUGUUUUUUUUUUUUUCCAGGGGUUGGGGGCUGCCAGAGAUUGAACUCGGGGCACUUGACCACUGAGCCACAUUCCCAGCCCUUUUAUGUAUUUUAUUUGGAGACGGGGUCUCACUGAGUUGCGUAGCACCUUGCUGUUGCUGAAGCUGGCUUUAAACUUGGGAUCCUCCUGCCUCAGUCUCCUGAGCCACUGAGAUUAUAGGCUUAUACCACCACACCCAGCCUCAGGCAAUUUGUAUUGACUACUUGUUCGAAUAUAUGGGCCAUAACUUCUUGUUUCUUUGUAUGUUUUAUGAUUUUUUUAUUGAAAAGUAGACUUUUUUUUUAAUGGACAGAAUGCCUUUAUUUGUUUUUAUGUGGUGCUUAGGAUCAACCCAGUGCCUCAGAUAUGCUAGGCAAGUUCUCUGCCACCGAGCCCCAGCCCCAACCUGAAAAGUAGACUUUCAGUUAAUGAAGUGUAGCAACUCUGGGGUGAGACUCUCCCUUUCCCCAGCAUUUGUUGCUAUUUUUUGGCCUGGUGAUUUUCCUGAACUAAUCUGUAAAGCCUGUGUUCUUUUUUGGUGACCACUGCAGUCUCUGUUCAGUUAGUUUAGUCAGGGGAUAGAGCGAAAACCUCUGGGUCUAAAACCAGUAAGUCUCCCAGUCUCCCAGGGCCUCUGUGUGUUAGGACACACCUUCAGCCCAGACAGUAGUGGGCAGCCCUACUUCAUCCUUCACUUCCUGCUAAUGCCUCACCUCAAGGUCAGCCAGAGGUGACCACUUAGGGCCUCUAGGGUCCAUGGAGUGUCUGCAUAGCUCUAGCUUUACACAUACACAUGGCUUCCAGAUUCCUAGGGACACACAGGCCUUCUCAGGGUCCCUCAUGAUUCCUCCUUUACCCGCUGUUCCUUUUGUUGUUGUCGCUGUUGUUGCUGUUGGGGUUGGGGGUUUGUUUGUACAUUUUGGUUCCCCGGAAGUGCUUAACCAUUGAGCCACAUGCUCAGCCCUUUUUAUUUUGAGGCAGGGUCUCCCUAAGUUGCUGAAACUGGCUGAACUUGUGCUCCUCCUGGGAUUACAAGUGUGUGCCACCAUUCCCAGCUCAGCGUUCCCUUCUGUUGUCUGGUUAGCUAGUAUUAUAUGUGCUUUGAGCAGCCACAUCCUUUAAAAGUCACCCCUGGGUGUUCCAACAAACACUCCCAAGGGAAACACUCCCUGGGAGAGCUUCUAGCCUGGUCAGAGCCCUCCCUGCACGUGGGGUCUUCCAGGGAGCUGCCCUCAUAGGCUUUAAAGCAGCUGCAGGCCCGCCCACACCCCUGCUUCCCCACUGUGGGUGCAGCCCUUGGUCCAAGGCUGCAGGAGAGGGAGUAGAACGGGGCAGGCUAAGAGCCAUGGAGCUCAGUGCUCUUGCAAGACACAGUUGUUCCUCCUGAAGAAACUGCUUCCAGCAUGAACCAUUCUUUGGUUACCUUUCAGAGUCCUGGAGAAGUUGACUUCACGUUUCUUACCAGUUUUUGCUCUGCUGCUUUGGUGUCCCUUCCUCCACCCCUUCCCCUCAUGCUACUGUUGAUGCUAAUGCUUAUUUUCAUGCCUCUGUGUGUUAGAAAGCAGCUCCAGGGAGCUGCGGUUGUGGCUCAGUGGUAGAGCACUUACCUAGCACUCGUGAGGCACUGGGUUCAAUUCUCAGCACCGCAUAUAAAUAAAUGAGUAAAAUAAAGGUCCAUCAACAUCUAAAAACACAUUUAAAAGAAAGAAAGUAGUGCCAGUGCCAACCCAGCACCAGGGGGCUCUUUUUAGUUUUUUCCUGACCCUGACUGGGAGAAGCCUAUUCCCACCGUCCUGAAGGGAUUGAUUCAGGGGGUCAGGUACUACCAACAAAAUGCCAUCCCCUUCGCAUUGUGUGACCCCCACCAUAUUUGAUGCCUCCUCUGAGCCACCAUGGCUACCCCAUCAGUCCUUCCUGAGGGGUUCUGGGCUGAGUUCAGGAAAGAAGUGGGAGAGGAAGGUCAGUACACGCAGUGUGUGACAGUCUAGUCCUUGUCUCACCUGCCAGAGGAUCAGACCGUUCUGAGCAAGCUGUACCUUCAUCCAGAGUAAGGAAGGUCUGCUUGCUUCUCAUGCCCUUGACUGCCUCGGUUGGGCUCCUAGCUGUUCGGUUUUGUUGUUGUUUUGUUUUGUUGUUUUGUUUUGUGUGUGUGUUUGUGGUGCUGGGGAUUGAACCCAGGGCCUUGUGCAAGUGAGGCAAGCACUCUACCAACUGAGCUAUAUCCCCAGCCCCUGCUCUUAGCUGUUCUUAAGGAAUUUUUUGCUGAUUAUAGCUACAUGCCAUUUGCAGAGAGGGAACCAGAGUACAUUAUGUUGCAUGAAUGUGAACUUGGCGUCCAGGAACCACUGGUCAAGGGAACCCCAUCUCUGAAUGCAGGCCAGGGCGUACUGGGGUAGACUCUACCUUCCAGCAGCCCCGUACGGUGGGAGUGUGCACUGCCCACUACACCUGGAAGGGAGUCAAACCACUAUCCCUGUCACUGCUACAUGUGGCCUGCUGUGUCUCCUGACAGAGUGGGAACAGCUUCCAUGUGUUUGACCAAGGCCAGUUCGCCAAGGAGGUGCUACCCAAGUACUUCAAGCACAACAACAUGGCCAGCUUCGUGCGGCAGCUCAACAUGUGUGAGUGCCCACUCUGGCUGGGCGGGUGCCCCCUUCCAGGAGUCUGUGGGAGGCAGACCCCAGCAUGUUCACCCCCAGACAUUGCUCUGGAUUGGCCAGGGGCAGGGCCUGGAAUCCACUACACAUGAGGACUGGGGCAAAGUACCUCUUUGUUGGAAGAUCCUCAGGAGUGUGCAUCUGGGGUUUCCAGGGAGGAAAGGGUUGUGAGGCCCUAGCCAUACUCCCUCACAGAUGGGGAACUGUUGGGAAUGGGGUCUCCCUCAUAACAAUAACACCCAGCUGCCAUGGGCAUGGGCUCUGGCCACAGCCCUGCAUGGCCCUUCUCUAGGGGCCUUCCCUCACUUGGCCCUCAGGAAGAGCUCUCCCACCCCUGUGUGUGCAGACGGCUUCCGGAAGGUGGUCCACAUCGAGCAGGGAGGCCUGGUUAAACCUGAGAGGGAUGACACUGAGUUCCAGCACCCAUGCUUCCUGCGUGGCCAGGAGCAGCUCCUGGAGAACAUCAAGAGGAAAGUGACCAGCGUGAGUGGCUGGCCCUAAACACAACCCUCCUUGUCGUCCCUCCUUGCUUGUCCCUCUCUGACCCACCCUUAACCAUCCCCGUUGGCCCUUCCUACUGUGCCUCAGGCCUCCCCACUCUCCUUGGGGCCCAGCUGCAGCAUGAGAGCCAGCCCCACUCCAGGACCUCCAGAGCCUCUUGUCCACCCCCAGGUAUCCACACUAAAGAGUGAAGACAUAAAGAUCCGCCAGGAUAGCGUCACCAAGCUACUGACAGAUGUGCAGCUGAUGAAGGGGAAGCAAGAGUGCAUGGACUCCAAGCUACUGGCCAUGAAGCAGUAGGUCCUGCGUGUCCAGGGGGUGGCUGUGGAUGUGUGCUGUGGGCUAGGGAAUGGGACAAGGAGGACCUCCUGCAGAGCCACCGUCCAGCUGUGACUUCUGUGGCAGAAGCUCUGGGGCCUUCUGUAUCCAUAUUCUGGGGGAGGCAUCCUGCUGGGCCACUCCCUCCACCCGGAAAGAUAGGCCUCUGCCUGGUUCCUGAAGCCGCAGACUAGAUGAGCUUCCACUGUACAGGAUCUGGGUUCACAGACUCUGCCCUCCAGGUCCCUCGCUGAGGGCCAGGGCAGCAGGAAACUGACCAGGACAGUCCCAAGGCUAGGUCAGCUUCUCUCCCUCCCCUGGUUGCCCACAGUGUCACUCAACGCAAUGUCAACAUCCCCACCACUGCCACCAUCUCAGGCCUGGGGCAGGAAGCAGCGUAGGAUCUUUCUUGAAUUUUUGCCUAUGUAUGUUUGGCACACACCUGACCACCUGGGGCCCCUCCUCAACAAGGACCCAGGGUUCUAGAGGCUUUGCAGGCAGCCUAGCACUUAAGAAACUGAGGCACGGGUCUCUUUUCCACUCUGGGUCCCUGGAGACUCAGGAAUUCUACCCAUAUAGCACAAGAGGCCCUGGGUUCACACUCCCCACAUUAGGCCUAGCAGAAGCCACUGACUUUAUGACCAGUGGAUGUGGCUUUUCUCACAGUAUGGCCAAGGGGCCAUUUCUUUGUCCAGGAGAUAUGGGCUUUGCAGGGCUAGCCCACCAGAGCAUCAGGAAUGCACCAGAUCUUGCUUACCUACCUGGGUGGGGGAACCAUGUUUUGGCAGCUCAUCCCUAUCCCCACCAGGCCACUUCCACACUUGGUGCAGGGCCCUCAGCCCCUACAAGGUGCAGGGCACCCUCCAGGUGUCACUCAGCAAACUGAGGAAUCUGUGUUUCGGAAACCUGAUCCCUUGGUGGGAGCAGAUGACUGGGGUUGGAUUCAAGUUCAAAGAACCUCCCAGUCACCACCCCGACCCCACCGCAUCAUCAGUGGGUGUCCUGCAAACCCCACCUUUGUCCUCUGGGAAGCACACCAGAGGUUGAAGGGGGGCAAUGUUGCCAGCAAGCCCUCGCCUGGCCCCGGCCCUUGUCCCACACCCCCUUGGACCUGCCUAGGGCAGGGGAGGCUACAGAAUACCCCUGCUGAGACUGCUGUGAGGCCUGCCUGACCCAGCCUGUAUUGCAGCGAGAACGAAGCCCUGUGGCGAGAGGUGGCCAGCCUGCGGCAGAAGCAUGCCCAGCAGCAGAAAGUCGUCAACAAGGUGGGGCAGGGCUGGCGGUGGUGGGUCCCUCCACAGCAGGGCUGGAGUGACUAUAUCCUCUCUGCCCUACAGCUCAUUCAGUUCCUGAUCUCGCUGGUGCAGUCCAACCGGAUCCUGGGGGUGAAGAGAAAAAUGUGAGGCACUGGGGGUGCCUGUACCCUCUGCUCAGGCCCUGGGCCCUCCCUGUGCUCCGUCUGCUGCAUCCUAGCGAGCAGCUAACCCCCACCCCUUCCCCACAGCCCGCUGAUGUUGAGCGACAGCAGCUCCGCACACUCGGUGCCCAAGUAUGGCCGGCAGUACUCCCUGGAGCAUGUGCAUGGUCCAGGCCCAUACUCGGUAAGCACUAGGUUGGGCAGGACGGCCCCCACAGGUCGUGCAGGGUGCUUGCUGCGUGCUCCAGGGUGGCCACAGGCAGACCCUACACGUGACCCAGCCCCUACCUCUGUUUGCAGGCUCCAUCCCCAGCCUACAGCAGCUCCAGCCUCUAUACCCCAGACGUUGUUACCAGCUCUGGACCCAUAAUCUCCGACAUCACUGAGCUGGCUCCCGCCAGCCCUCUGGCCUCCCCAGGCAGGAGCAUAGAUGAGAGGUGGGGCUGUGUACCCCCCCCCCAGCCCUCCUGUCACCUCACUGGGCCAGCCCAUAUGAGCCCGGGGUAGAGUUGGGAGGGAGUGGUGCCCGCUGAGGUUCCUGCUAACGUGUCCCCCAACAUGUCCAGGCCCCUGUCCAGCAGUCCCCUGGUGCGUGUCAAGGAGGAGCCCCCCAGUCCACCUCGGACGCCCCGAGUGGAGGAGGCGAGUCCCAGGCACCCGUCCUCUGUGGACACCCCCUUGUCCCCAACUGCCCUCAUCGACUCCAUCCUGCGGGAGAGCGAGCCUGCCCCCACCUCAGCUACAGUCCCCACUGAUGCCGGAGGCCGCGUCCCCUCGUCCCCACCUCGCUCAGCCCCCGAGAAGUGCCUCAGCGUAGCCUGUCUGGACAAGUGAGUGCUGCCCCUGAGCACACAGCCUGAGCCUGUGCUGGGACUGCCCCGAGGGGUGGGGUACUGAACCCCCAGGCCCUGCAGGGGUAUGGGAUUUGCAAAUAGUAAGCAAACAGGAUUAGGGCCAGGGAGGGAGUUGAAUUUGGCCAGAUCACUCUACAAUCUGGGGCCCCUGCCCGCUGGCCACCCUUUUGGCUGCCAUCGCCCUCUCCUGCAAACCACAGGACCCUUGCCUGUCAUGCUGCCCAGACCAGCAGCAAGAGAUGGUGAGCCGGGCCUGGCUUUGACCCCUUUGGCCCUGUCCAGAGGCUGAGUGAGUGAGGAUGGUGGGCUCAGAGCCCACCCUCUGGCCCCCACCUGCAAUGGGGGGGCUCUUGUCUUUGUAUCUUGCAGUUUGGCUCGCGCUCCACAGAUGUCUGGGGUCGCCCGCCUCUUCCCCUGCCCCUCCUCUUCCUUUCUGCAUGGCCGAGUCCAGCCAGGGUUAGCGCGGCCCCCAUUGGGGAGGGAGGAGGGCUCUGUCAGAGCUCGGGCCCCUCCUGCAGCCAUGAAGCAGACCCUGCCCUGUGCACAGCACUCACCCUGUUUGUCAAGGGUGCCGGGGGAGGGCUUCCCAGGCUCUGCAUCCUCACUGACUUCCCAGGCAUGGGCCAAUGGCUGUGACUGGGACAAAACCCUACCUGGCCCAGCCACCAGUGCAGGCAGGAUCCAGGCUGCUGUGCUGCGCUUACUUUCGGGGUGGGGUGGGCCCAUGGCACCUGUAGAGCUGUCCUGGCUGUCCUUCCCAUGGCCCCCAGAUACCCCCAGCAGCACCAGGGGAGGUGCAGACCCAGUCAUGCUGAGGAUAGCCUGUCUGCCUUCUUUACUCUUCCAAGUGCUGUGGCAAGACCUUGUUAAGCCUGAAAAACUGCACUAGAGCUGAACCCCUCGUCCCCUGGUGCUUUCUUGCCCCAGCCUUGAUCACCCCCAAGGCCUUCCAGCCUUGUACCAGUAUCCUGUGGGCCAAGCUGCACCCUACCCUCAGUAGUCAUGGAGGACACAGAGCUCACCACUGCCCUUCCAGCACCUUCCAGUUGUGUGUGUAUAUAUACACAGACACACUGUCCCCCCAGCCCAUGCUGGGGGUGCCGAGGGGCCCCAUCUAGGGAAUGGGUGUAGCCAAGGGAGAGCCCUUCUCUACAGGAGUGUGUCUGGGGCUCUGGUUCACCUGCCCACUCACCCCGGGCCAGGAAUGAGCUCAGUGACCAUUUGGAUGCCAUGGAUUCCAACCUGGACAACCUGCAGACCAUGCUGACCAGCCAUGGCUUCAGUGUGGAUACCAGCGCCCUGCUGGACGUGAGUCUGCCCUAUCUUCUCCCUGCUCCACCCCAUUCUCUGUAAGCCAGCCCUGACUUCCCUCCCUCCCUCCUGCAGCUGUUCAGCCCCUCCGUGACCAUGCCCGACAUGAGCCUGCCUGACCUUGACAGCAGCCUGGCCAGCGUGCGUAGGCGGGCAGGGUGGGGGGCGGGGGCACCAGCAGCAGUCCUCAUCAUGUCCCUUCCACCCCACAGAUACAGGAGCUCCUGUCUCCCCAGGAGCCCCCCAGGCCUCUUGAGGCAGAAAACAAUGGCCCUGACUCAGGUGAGCCAAGCCCUGUGCCUGCCCCCCAUCCUCCCACCACCCAUAUGGCCCUGACCCCCACCCACCCACAGGGAAGCAGCUGGUGCAGUACACAGCACAGCCUCUGUUCCUGCUGGACCCGGACGCCGUGGACACGGGGAGCAGUGAACUACCUGUGCUCUUUGAGCUGGGGGAGGGCUCCUACUUCUCCGAGGGAGACGACUACACAGAUGAUCCCACCAUUUCCCUGCUGACAGGCUCUGAGCCCCCCAAAGCCAAGGACCCUACUGUCUCCUAGAGAUGCCAAGAGGGACUGGGAGGGCCUGUGGCCUGCUUCCACCCUUAGGACAGGUUUGGGGGAGGCAGGACAGGCACACAGCCUCCACAGCCCCAGUGGGGGAAGAGGGGCUCAGGGCUGGACAGUGCCUCCAGUCCAGAGUGAGGGCCCUUGGGCCUGCACACCUGCUGCCUUCGCCCAGCCCCGCAUCCCCAUGGCUUGUUUGGGGCUUCACAGUCACAACUUGGACUGAUUCUGCAGGUUGUUCAUAGAAUUGUAUUUUGGAUUUUUACAUGAGGGUCCCCCUUUCCCCUUCACAGAGAAAUAUAUACACACAGACGGACAGACAAGACGGGCAGAGAUCUAUAAACCGACAAGCUCUAUGCUAUGGCUUUCU
rnacentral:lncRNA from 1 species